GGAGAAAUGGCAGAGCGGUCGAAUGCGGCGGUCUUGAAAACCGUUGUCCGAGCAAUUGGACCGGGGGUUCGAAUCCCUCUUUCUCCG
rnacentral:tRNA from 5 species